UUAAAGGUGCAAUCUGGGAUAUUUGCUGUUUAAUAUUUGGUGGUGGGCUAAUGUUGAGCUUUAACACAAAUCCCAGAUUGUAUCUUUAAGGUCCAAGCUGCCCUAAACUGCUGUUGUCAUGUUCAUUAGGGGACACAAUGGAAAACAUUUAAAUGUUGUGCAAUGGAAAAAGAAAACGGGCAUUUCAUAUUGGACAAGUCCAGGUGGUAGGUGGUAGGUCUAGGUGGUAGGUCCAGGUGGUAGGUGGUAGGUCCAGGUGGUAGGUGGUAGGUCCAGGUGGUAGGCUAGUCCCUCACUGUUUAAUUUUUAUUUUAUUUUUUAUUAUUUUUUUUUUUAUCACCUUUAUUUAACCAGGUAGGCCAGUUGAGAACAAGUCCUCAUUUACAACUGUGACCUGGCCAAGAUAAAACAAAGCAGUGCGACACAAACACAGACAGAGAUAAAACAUGGAAUAAACAAACGUACAGUCAAUAACACAAUAGAAAAGUCUAUAUACAGUAUGUGCAAAUUAAGUAAGAUUAGGGAGGUAAGGCAAUAAAUAGGCCAUAGUGGCGAAAUAAUUACAAUUUAGCAAUUAAACACUGAAGUGAUCGAUGUGCAGAAGAUGAAUGUGCAAGUAGGGAUACUGGGUGCAAAG
ensembl:lncRNA